UCUGUCUCGGUCUCCGGGGCAACGGGCGGGAUGAGCCGUGAGUGAGUGACCGGGCCGGGCCGGGCCUGACGCGGUGAGAGGCCCCGGUGGAUCAGGGCGGGCGGGAUGAGCCUGGUAGAUGGAGUGAUGCAAGGAGACUGCCAUCCCUGCCCUCACUGCACUGUUGCAUUUAGCACAGUGGAGUUCCUCACAAGGCACUUAAGAAGGCAUCCUGAAGCCCCCAGACCAACAUCCACUGGGCAACCUUCUUCCUCCAGAGUGAACACUGAUUCACAACAUCAACGUGGGCAGAGGCCGUUCACCCCAUCUGACGGAAUUGGGAAAUCAGGUGCUAUUCAAGGACGAAUAGUGGAGAGACGGCAUGAAUGUCCUGACUGUGGGAAGUGUUUCACGCACGUAGCGCACCUCCACGUACACCAGCGAACCCACACCGGAGAGAGGCCGUACAAAUGUCCUGACUGUGGGAAGGGCUUUGCACAGGCAGGGGACCUCCACAGACACCAGCGGACCCACACCGGAGAGAGGCCGUACAAAUGUCCUGACUGUGGGAAGGGCUUUGCAGACUCAGGGACCCUCCGGAAACACCAGCGGACCCACACUGGAGAGAGGCCGUACAAAUGUCCUGACUGUGGGAAGAGCUUUGCAGACUCAGGGAACCUCCAACUACACCAGCGGACCCACACCGGAGAGAGGCCGUACAAAUGUCCUGACUGUGGGAAGGGCUUUGUACACCCAGGGAACCUCCACAGACACCAGCGGACCCACACCGGAGAGAGGCCGUACACAUGUCCUGACUGUGGGAAGAGCUUUUCUUAUCUCCGUCAGCAGAAAGCUCACACCUGCCUUGAAACGUGCCCCGUGUGAGGGAAUGUGUUUAAAGACUCAGCAGCUUUCACUGUUCACCUGAGAGCCUGUGUUGGACAGUAACACAGAGAAAGGUCACCAAUUUACAGUUAUCAUUUCCUUUAUAUUAUUUCCUUUAUAUUAUUUCAAUUCUUACCUUUUGAAUGACUUUGUGUAAUUAUUUAUUUUGUCAACAGUAUUAAUAUUGGCCCUUGCUGUAUUUCCCCCUUUAUGAUGAUACUUUGUGUGGACAAGUCUGGGCUAUCAAACUGCUGGUCCCUGCAGCUUUCACUUUAUUCCUGUGAGAUUUCUUGAACGGGUGAUCAGUAAAAUGCUGACACUGGAGUUUGCAACGUUUAAAGUGUUGUUCCAAGUAUAAGCAGCAGGCUACAGCUCAUGGCAUAAACCGGCAGUGGAUAUAAACAGGAUGAUUAAUGGAGAAGGGACGGGGCCCGAAAGAAACUUUGUACCCACUGAUAAAAUUCCUCUCAGAGGCCCCGUGUACAAGCACACCCAGGUCUCGUUACACCUCCCUUUUUCCUAAUCUGAUACUAUUCAGGUAAUUGUCUGCCAUUCUGUUCUUGCCAUCAAAAAGGAU